ACGACGCUGGCGCGUAGCUUAACACAUGCAAGUCGAACGGUGAAGCACUUUUCUCUUGUGGGUGUGGAUGAGUGGCGAACGGGUGAGUAACACGUGAGUAACCUGCCCCUUCUUCUGGAUAACCGCAUGAAAGUGUGGCUAAUACGGGAUAUUCUGUGCCUGCUGCAUGGUGGGUGUGGGAAAGAUAUUGUUUUGGUGGGGGAUGGGGCUCGCGGCCUAUCAGCUUGUUGGUGGGGUGAUGGCCUACCAAGGCGGUGACGGGUAGCCGGCCUGAGAGGGUGGACGGUCACACUGGGACUGAGACACGGCCCAGACUCCUACGGGAGGCAGCAGUGGGGAAUAUUGCACAAUGGGCGCAAGCCUGAUGCAGCGACGCCGCGUGAGGGAUGGAGGCCUUCGGGUUGUAAACCUCUUUCGCCAGUGAAGCAGGCCUGUCCCUUGUGGGUGGGUUGAUGGUAGCUGGAUAAGAAGCGCCGGCUAACUACGUG
rnacentral:rRNA from 1 species